GACGAACGCUGGCGGCGUGCCUAACACAUGCAAGUCGAGCGAAUGAAGUUCCUUCGGGAACGGAUUUAGCGGCGGACGGGUGAGUAACACGUGGGCAACCUGCCUCAUAGAGGGGAAUAGCCUUCCGAAAGGGAGAUUAAUACCGCAUAAGAUUGUAGUACCGCAUGGUACAGCAAUUAAAGGAGCAAUCCGCUAUGAGAUGGGCCCGCGGCGCAUUAGCUAGUUGGUGAGGUAACGGCUCACCAAGGCGACGAUGCGUAGCCGACCUGAGAGGGUGAUCGGCCACAUUGGGACUGAGACACGGCCCAGACUCCUACGGGAGGCAGCAGUGGGAAUAUUGCACAAUGGGGGAAACCCUGAUGCAGCAACGCCGCGUGAGUGAUGACGGCCUGGUUGUAAGCUCUGUCUUCAGGACGAGUAAUGACGGUACCUGAGGAGAAGGCCAC
rnacentral:rRNA from 1 species